CAUAUAUUCAGUAUGUAUAUACAUAUUAAAGCAAGAAAGAAAGCAAGCUAAGGUGGCUUGUAUACAUAUAUGACACAUGUUUCUUUUAUCUAUAACCAUGACACCUAACAAUUUUUUAUUAUACUUAUCAUCACCACCUAAUCUUCAUUUUCCUCUCUGGAAACCGAACCAAACGUGAAAGAAAAGAAAGCAAGAGUGACCGAGAAUGAAGAAGAGAAACCGUGGAACUUCCAUGUCUCUAACUUCAAUUUCUUGUGAUCCAUAAUUUUAAUAAAAUAAUCCAAUUUGAUAAAAGUGUUCGUAUCUUCCUCCUCUACACGUUGGCAUAUCUUUUGUUCGGUGGAAGCUGACGGUGAUGUAGUUCUCCUUCUCUUUGAGUUCGGCCAAUUGGAUUAUUGGAGUUUUAGGAGGUACAUGUGAUUUCUGACGUUUUCUUCUUCAGCAACUCGGUCAAAAAGCUUCUUUGGAGCUAUCGUUGAUUUUGAUUUCAUAGUGACACAGGUUCGGAGAUUCAAUAAGAAGUUGCAGACGAUUAGUAGAUUUACUUGUGAUUCUUGUUGUUUUUAUAGAGUUCUCUCGCCCUUGUUGCUU